rnacentral:lncRNA from 1 species
AUUCAACUUUGUAUCACCUGAGCUUAACUAACACCUGGCACAGAGAAGAAACAUAUUAAGGAUUUGCUGAGAGAAUAAGAUAGUAUAACUUGGUCUUAUAUCUAAGGUUUGAUUUUCUAGGAACCUAUAGUGAAUUUUAGGCUUGCUUUUCAGUUUUUGUAGCAGGGAUGUAGCACAGGUUUGGGACUCAGCACACCUAGUCUGAAAGCUGAUUUCUGUCACAGCAUGCAUGAGGGACAGUCUCUUCAGUUUAUUUAUACCUUAGUGCUGUGAUUCUCGAGCUUAUAGACACUGUGAGGACAGAAUUUUAGCUCUUUAAACAAAGGGGGGCAAAUAUACAGUGACCUCUAUCUAUGUAGGUAUUUAACUGAAAGGAAUUCCAGGGCCAAGUGUGUCUACUAUUAAAAGAAACGUACUUUUCUUACAAUGUAGUCCCUGAAUGCAAAUCAUGGUUUUAUCUGGUGGGCAACUGAAGAAACAGCAAUCUGAACUGAUAUGGGAGGCAGACCUCACUGUAACAGGAUUAGUGAGAAACAGUGUUUGUGGCUCUUAAUUGCUCAUUUUUUUUUUUUUAAUGGGGGAUGUUAGGGAUUUUCUAAGGGCAGGUUUAUCCAUAUGCAGAGUUGAUGUUAGGAUGUAAUACCACAAAGAUGUAAUUAACUCCUCUGUUUGUGGUCUCCAUGUUAAUUCACUCUCAUAAGAGGGUAUGCAGUGUGGUCACUAUUCUACCACCAUUUUUAAGAAAAAAUUUAAAACUAUUUUUUAUCUUCCAAAUUAAAUAUUUUGCUAUUUGAUAAGUUAACAAUGCAACAGAAAAUCAAUAUAACUUUUAUCUUUACCAGAAGCCAUAAAAGUCUAUCUAGGAAAAUUUCAGAUGUGUGAACAUGGCUUUAGAGAAGGAACUCAACUACAGACUAUAAGAAAUGUAAAACCAAGCCAGGUUCCUGUUGUGGUCCUUUAUUAUGACCUGGUGACCUAAGCUAGAGAAUCACAGCACUAAGGUAUAAGUAAACCAAAUAGCAUGCAUUGGCUUUAGUUCAGAAGGGGAUUUUUGUGCAGAAAAUAAAUUGAAAGUAGGGCCUCUGGCCAGCAUAAACAGAUAAGAAAAAAGUAUGAUUCCCUACGUCUCAAAAAUGACUCCUUCACACAUCCCACCAAUCAAAGAUCCAUUUGGAAUAACAGGUCUUCUAAAAGCUGCCAUAGAAGUUAAGCCUCCUACCACCUAUACUUCUGUGUGAAUUGAUUUAGUCUGGAGGCAUUUUGAUUGCUUUUCUCCUAACACCUAACUUAGAAGGUGAAAUAGAGGUCUUGUUUGGAGGGAAUUGAAGAAGGAAAAGGAAAGGGCAAUUUCAGAUCAAGGGAUAUGUUGGAAUGGUGGAAAAGUAGGAUCAUUAGGACAGCUGGGAACAGUCUUUUAGUUCUUGGAAGCCAGGAAAAAGAUGUAGAGAGAAGGGCAGAAGUGGUCAAGGCUCCAUGAAAAGGAGGAUGUAGCAGUCAAAUUGGAUGUCGACCAUGCAACAAUGACGUCAGGAACCCUGCUUGGUAUACCAUCUGUACCUGUCUGUACAGAGUUUCACUCUUGUUGCCCAGGCUGGAGUACAAUGGCAUGAUCUCGGCUCACUGAAACCUCUGCCUCCUGGGUUCAUUCAAGCGAUUCUCCUGCCUCAGCCUCCUGAGUAGCUGGGAUUACAGCCUCCUCUACAUACCUCCACCUUCUAACUCCAAGAAGUCAAAAUGAAGUCUCACCAUAUUGAUCAGACUGGUCUUGAAGUCCUGGCUUCAAAUGAUCUUCCCUCCUCAGCCUCCCAAACUGCUGGGAUUAUAGAUCUUGCAGACAACAGAUCAUGGAACUUCUUGGCCUCCAUAAUCUCAUGAGCCAAUUUCUAUAUUCCAUAGGGGAAAGAAGGAGAGCUGAGAAUGCACAGAAAUUUUCAUGUGCCAAGUUUGGAAGUGCAAAAAGACCUUUAGGUGCGGGCCCUCUGUCUUGGACUUCUCAACCUCCAGAACAAUGGUGUCAGAAGCAGGAUCCCAAGCAGAGCUUCUAGUGACCUCCAGGAGCGCUGAGUGAACACUCGAGGUACCAGCACUCGAGGACCCACUUGUGUCCAUGGAUCUCUCAGAGCGGCUCCGGAUGGUAAAAAGCAAUUUGAAGGGGUGUUCUAUACUUUGGCAGAGGAAACCCAUUCCCUCUCAAGGAGAAGCAGUGGACACAGUCUCCGAAGUUGAGAGCCAUUUGAGAAUCAGUUGAGAAGUUUGAGAACCAGGUAUGUGGGGCUUUGGUAUCAGGAUGAUGCUGGCCUCAUAAAAUGAGUUCAGGAGGAUUCCCUCUUUUUCUAUUGAUUGGAAUAGUUUCAGAAGGAAUGGUACCAGCUCCUCCUUGUACCUCUGGUAGAAUUUGGCUGUGAAUCCAUCUGGUCCUGGACUUUUUUUGGUUGGGGGUCCUGAAACCAAUCCUUCGUGGAUACCCAGGGACAAUUCUAUCUGGCUGGAUUCUGGGAAGUGAACUUAUGGAAUCAAAGGUUAUGCAAACAUUUUUGAGACUUAGACUGGCUCUCCUUGCUCCUCAAGCUUGUAGACAGCCUAUUGUGGGACCUUGUGAUCAUACUUGAAACACUUGUACAUCAGCUCAGAGUGUGCAUUGUCCACUGCAAAUACUAGUGCAAAUUAAGAAGAAGAGAAAAAAGAAGGUCCACGAGCUACCAAUGACAUCUAGGACUGCUUCUGUCUCAUAGCACAUACUCCUCCCACAAGGACUACAAAUGACAAGAGAAAAUUUGUAUAAUUGGAAUUCUGGACAUUUCUCAAAUGCUCAUUGACUCAAAUACUUUCUGCUGUAUUUGGAAUUUUCAAACCAAAACAUGAUAGCAACCAGACCAGAAAAAUGUAAUUGACCAGAAAUGUCCUACAAUAUUUACAAUAUACUCAUUUUUCUGCAUGUUCAAUUUUAAAAGUUGGGUAUUCUGUACUGGAAUCUAAUGGGAUUUGACUAAUAAUCCUCACAAAAAUGAUGCCAGGAUGUUCUUCAGCUUUUGAUAGACUUUAAAAUACACAGGCAGCAUAAUCUUGAGCAAGAAAAGAGCUGACUUUCUGUACAGGAGAAAUAAAGAAUAGUGUAGCACUUGACAACC